GGGGUGCUCGAGUGGCGAACGGGUGAGUAACACGUGAGUAACCUGCCCUUGACUUUGGGAUAACUUCAGGGAACUGGGGCUAAUACCGGAUAGGAGCUCCUGCUGCAUGGUGGGGGUUGGAAAGUUUCGGCGGUUGGGGAUGGACUCGCGGCUUAUCAGCUUGUUGGUGGGGUAGUGGCUUACCAAGGCUUUGACGGGUAGCCGGCCUGAGAGGGUGACCGGCCACAUUGGGACUGAGAUACGGCCCAG
rnacentral:rRNA from 1 species